GUGCUAGUGAAGCCUACCCGGGCAAGCACUGGGAAGGAAGAGGAGUAUAUAUAUGCAUUACUCUGAAGCAAUGUGUCCCAGGAAAACAUCAUGAUGGAUACACUGGAAUUUAAGACAGAGAGCUUCGAUGCAAAUGCCAGUGUGGUAGAUCCUGAAAACAUCCACCAGCUCCAGCUGCCCCUCCAUUUCCGGGUGGUGUGUGGAAGACUGGAAUCCUCAUGCCCAUGCAGUGAUCACCGUGCCUAUAGAGAGAUGGAAUGAAAAAAUGGAAAAGAUGUGAACUGUGUAAUUUCUGAACUUCAGCAGUGAUAAGCUCAU